rnacentral:rRNA from 1 species
GCCUUGGCCGGGCGGUCCUGCCGGUUUUGGUCGGUACUGUCUGGCCGGGGUUCACCUUCUGGCGAGACGGCAUGCUCUUCGCUGGGUGUGCCGGGGAACCAGGACUUUUACUUUGAAAAAAUUAGAGUGUUCAAAGCAGGCUUCAGCUCGAAUACAUUAGCAUGGAAUAAUGGAAUAGGACUUUGGUUCUAUUUUGUUGGUUUCUAGGACCGAGGUA